rnacentral:lncRNA from 1 species
AUUAUGACUGAAGAAGAAUAUCAGAUACGAUUUCUGACACACUUUUGUCAUAAUGGCCAAUGAGCUCAUGAUGGCGACCGUAACAUUUCUUGAGUGAUGACCUUAAUUUGAUUGAUUCAUAGCCCUGUCUUAGCAACUUUUGAGAAAGUAGUAUUCCUCGUUCAACAAAAUCAACGUACUUUGAGCUAGCUCUAGAGUAACGUAUCAAUUGAGACAUAUACUCCUAUUGGUGCCGCUAGGAUGUUGCUACACAGAAAUGGAAAGUUGACUAUAGGAAAAUUAACAUCAUCGCGUUUGUCAUAAAUUUUGGUAUUUAACCUACCAUCAUAGUCAUUUCGAGAAAAAGGUCUAAAUAUGAAGCAGAUUUAUCUGUGUCGGUAGUAUCUUUAAUUUCACUU